rnacentral:rRNA from 1 species
GUAGUCCAUGCCGUAAACGUUGGGAACUAGGUGUGGGUCUCAUUCCACGAGAUCCGUGCCGCAGCUAACGCAUUAAGUUCCCCGCCUGGGGAGUACGGCCGCAAGGCUAAAACUCAAAGGAAUUGACGGGGGCCCGCACAAGCGGCGGAGCAUGCGGAUUAAUUCGAUGCAACGCGAAGAACCUUACCAAGGCUUGACAUAUGCGAGAACGCGGCAGAGAUGUCGUUCUCUUUGGACACUCGUAUACAGGUGGUGCAUGGUUGUCGUCAGCUCGUGUCGUGAGAUGUUGGGUUAAGUCCCGCAACGAGCGCAACCCUCGUUCUAUGUUGCCAGCACGUGAUGGUGGGGACUCAUAGGAGACUGCCGGGAUCAACUCGGA